UACGAAGGGGGCUAGCGUUGUUCGGAAUCACUGGGCGUAAAGGGUGCGUAGGCGGCGUAGAAAGUAGGGUGUGAAAUCCCUCGGCUCAACCGAGGAACUGCGCCCUAAACUACUAUGCUUGAGGGAGAUAGAGGUGAGCGGAACUUAGGGUGGAGCGGUGAAAUGCGUUGAUAUCCUAAGGAACACCGGUGGCGAAAGCGGCUCACUGGGAUCUCUUCUGACGCUGAGGCACGAAAGCUAGGGUAGCGAACGGG
rnacentral:rRNA from 1 species